CAGUUCAACAAAAUACAUCUACACAAAUAAGCUUCUUAGUGAAGCUUAGUUUGCCUAAAGAGCAAAUCAGAAUAACUUUGAACAGAAAGUGAGUAUAAAUUGACUCUACUAGUGUCUAUUUGAAGACUGUUGCAUUAUUUUACAUUACAUUUUUCAGGUGUUCCUCCUUUUCUAUUAUCUAUAUAGUACCUCUAUCUGCAUUUAACAUGCUACAUGCAUGCAAACAUGCAAAGUAGUUAACUUUUUUUUGUUGUUGUUGUCUAGAUUGGAAGCUUAUUAAAGAACCAGCUCAAGCUGCUAAAGUUUUCAAAGAGAAUCUACUAAGGGAACACGCAACUGGGAAGCCCAUUAAACUGAAGAUGGACAUUAGGGACAACGAGGAGGACAAGGAAAGGGCACUGCUCUCAUUCUAUAAACAGCACCAAGAAUGAGCAUGUCCACUUCAUUGUACCCUUGAUGGUGAUGCUGCUGUUGGGCAGGGAGUAACAAGAUACUUUCUGACAACAAUAAUUUCCAAACUCCAGUUUGGAUUCAGUCUGGAUCUUGGAGGAACAGGCCGAACACUGCUAUUUGAGGGUGAGCCUGACCAUCUCGUUCCAGCAGCAUCAGAGGUACAUAUUGAGAGCAACCUGUUCCGGGUUGCAGGAAGGAUGAUGGGCCACUCCUUUUUGCAUGAUGGCCCCUGUGUCACAGGAUUAAGUCCUGCUGUAAUUCAUGCACUGUUUAAUGGGGACCCUGAAAUGGCAACAAUUGCUGCCGAGGACUGUCGUGAUCUGCACAUCAGGAACAUCAUAAAAAUGCUUGAACUUGAAGAACUUUCUCAGGAACAGAAGGACACUGUCUCAGAGCUUUCCAUGUCGUGGGAUCUCCCAGCAGUCAUGAAAACAAAUCAGAGGUCAUUGGGAGGACCAUGUGCCAAAUUAAACAGCUGAGAAAGGGAUUGAAAGAUGUGAUGCUAUGGCCCCUGCUGACAUCUAGGCCGGAUGUUGUCCCACUUCUUUUCCCCAAAAUGGCAGAAAUGCAGUUCGUACCCCAGAUGUUCCUAGACAAAAUCACAUGGCCAGUUGAGGACAGUGAUGAUGAGGAUGAAGAAUUUGGUAUCGAGUGCAAGUGCCGCAUCACUGGUUUUCUAAGGAUGUUCAUUGAAACAGCUUCAUCAGACACACUGGCCCAGUUGCUGAAGUUCUGGGUCGGCUGGGAAAUGCUUCCUCCUGAACUCAAAGUGGAGAUUUCUGGGGGAACCUUUCCUGCGUCCUCCACGUGCUUCGAAACACUGAAGCUGCCAGCUCAUUACAAAACCUAUAGAGACUUUGAGGAAGCACUUGUUGCUGCUAUUAACAGUGCACACACUGGAUUUGGUCUUGUUUAAGUAUUUUCAGGCAGUGAUAUUGCUAUGCUUUGUUUCAUCGACCAGGUCAAUUUGACACAAGUUCAGUGUUCCAACACAUUUAAAAUAAUGUGCAGUAGUUUCAAUUAUUUUGUUCUUUUUAAAAUUUUGUUUAUUUACCAAAACGGUAUCAGUCCUGCAUUUCUAGCUUCAUCAGCAUAAACAAGUAGUUUUACUUACAACAAAAGUGCAGAUUAUUGUUUUACAUUUUUGACAACAGUAACAGUGACAAAGGGAAAGGUUUAGAAAACCUCAGUUUUCAGUGCAUUUGUGCUUGUUGUAACACACAAUAAAAGGCUUGGUUUGGC